GACGAACGCUGGCGGCGUGCUUAACACAUGCAAGUCGAACGGAAAGGCCCUGCUUUUGUGGGGUGCUCGAGUGGCGAACGGGUGAGUAACACGUGAGUAACCUGCCCUUGACUUUGGGAUAACUUCAGGAAACUGGGGCUAAUAACGGAUAGGAGCUCCUGCUGCAUGGUGGGGGUUGGAAAGUUUCGGCGGUUGGGGGUGGACUCGCGGCUUAUCAGCUUGUUGGUGGGGUAGUGGCUUACCAAGGCUUUGACGGGUAGCCGGCCUGAGAGGGUGACCGGCCACAUUGGGACUGAGAUACGGCCCAGACUCCUACGGGAGGCAGCAGUGGGGAAUAUUGCACAAUGGGCGGAAGCCUGAUGCAGCAACGCCGCGUGCGGGAUGACGGCCUUCGGGUUGUAAACCGCUUUCGCCUGUGACGAAGCGUGAGUGACGGUAAUGGGUAAAGAAGCACCGGCUAACUACGU
rnacentral:rRNA from 1 species